AGAUCUUUGUGGCUGUAGUCCUGUGUCGGAUCGUGUGACAUCAGGGCGCUCAGGUUGUCGUCGAGCUGUUCCCGGCUCAGGUGCUGCAGGCCGCCGGCUGCUUCAGAUAGGAGUGUACCAGUUAUGGCACUCAGCCAGGACUCUAGUCGAUCCCAGUGGGCAUCAGGGCUGGAUGAUCGAGACAUGCUGGCUCACUGGUGAAAAGAGAGAGGGAGAGAGAGAGAGAGGGAGAGAGGGAGAGAGGGACAGCACGAAAAGGCCAAUGCAAGUCCUUACAGCGUUAGCAGGCUGCAAUUAUAUGUUCUAUGCACGGUCUGUUUGAUGAGUACAAACAGUUAGUGGAGUGUAGACCAGACACCUGUUAUCUUGGCCGUGAAUGGCACGGUGUGUCUAAUUGUGUGUCACCGGAAAGGAUCUAACUCAGAUUGUUGACAGCGUGAUCGUCUAAAGACUUUGGCAGCUUGGGUCGUCAAUCUAUUACUCAGCCUUCCCUGAUGAUUCUCAAAGGUUCGGUCUCUAGGCAAACAAAA